rnacentral:rRNA from 1 species
CCCUUAGAUGUUCUGGGCUGCACGCGCGCUACACUGAAGCGUUCAACGAGUAUUCACCUUGCCCGGGAGGGUUGGGUAAUCUUUUGAAAACGCUUCGUGAUGGGGAUAGAUUAUUGCAAUUAUUAAUCUUCAACGAGGAAUUCCUAGUAAGCGCAAGUCAUCAGCUUGCAUUGAUUACGUCCCUGCCCUUUGUACACACCGCCCGUCGCACCUACCGAUUGAAUGGUCCGGUGAAAUCUCGGGACGGCGGCUUGGUCGCUUGCGUCCGACUGCUGAAACUUGAUUAAACCAUAUCAUUUAGAGGAAGGUGAAGUCGUAACA